GCCACUUUGUGGUUCAUGACUGGGGUGAAGUCGUAACAAGGUAGCGCUAGGGGAACCUGGCGCUGGAUCACCUCCUUACGUAAAGA
rnacentral:rRNA from 2 species